UGCUAUGGGCAACUGGGCAAAUUUUCCUCUGCACAGGUUUUGAUAAAUCUCCCCCAUAGAGUUUUACAGAGAAAUAGAUUUCCAUUCCAUACAGCAAUCGCUGUGUAAAUCGAUUAGUCGCACAGCGGGGGUCCGGAACUGGCGUUUUAUCAGAGAAACUAAGUAGCCUGAGCGAGGAACAUGUCUUGUUUACAUACCUGGCGGAGGAGGGGCCCCACCUGAGGGAAGAGAUAAUAUUCGCCUGACUGAGUGAAGCAAAUAUCUACUCACUGAAUCCAAGGCACCAUGGAAGCUGCACCCAGAAAAGGCUUCUACUAUCAAGAGAUUAAUAAGACCAAAUGGGAGGUUCCCGAGCGAUACAAGGAGCUGAGAGCCGUUGGCACUGGGGCGUACGGAACAGUCUGCUCAGCCAAGGAUGCAGCGACCGGAGAACGUGUUGCCAUAAAGAAAUUACUCCGUCCAUUUCAGUCCCUGAUCCACGCCAAAAGAGCCUACCGAGAGCUACGUCUACUGAAACACAUGAACCAUGAGAAUGUUAUAUCCCUCCUCAAUGUCUUCAGUCCUGAUGAGUCCAUGGAAUCAUUUCAGACUUUUUACCUAGUAAUGCCAUUCGUUCCUUUGGACUUGGCGCGGGUCAUGAAGAUGCAGAAACUCAACCACAGCAUGAUAGUCUACCUUCUCUAUCAGAUCCUUCGAGGCCUCCAGUACAUCCAUUCUGCUGGAAUUGUUCACAGGGAUCUAAAACCGAGCAACCUAGGAGUAAAUGAAAAUUAUGAGGUCAAGAUUUUAGAUUUUGGACUAGCCCGACAGACAGAACCGGAGAUGACUGGAUACGUGGUAACUCGCUGGUACAGGGCACCAGAAGUGAUCCUAAACUGGAUGCAUUAUAACCAAACAGUGGAUAUUUGGUCAGUCGGAUGCAUCUGGGCAGAAAUGAUUACUGGACGUGUCUUAUUCCCUGGAGGAGAUUAUUUUGACGAGCUGAACAAAAUUAUUGAAGUAAUCGGAAGUCCCAAGCCUUCUUUAAUCAACAAGAUGGAAAGUAAACACGCUCAAGACUACUUAAAAAUGCUCCCAGAGAAACAGAAGAAGAAUUUUAAAGAGCUUUUCCCAACAAUGAAAGCAUUAGAGAUAGAUCUACUGGAGAAGAUGUUGGAUCUGGACCCGGAGAGGAGAUUAUCUGCAGCAGAAUGUCUGGCACAUCCAUACCUGGAGGAAUACCACGACUCCGAUCCUGACCCGCCUGCAGAGAAAUAUGAUGACUCUUUUGAGAGUCUGGACCUUAAAACUCCGGAAUGGAAAAUCUGAUAGGACAGGAGUGAGCACAGAGGAGUGCUAGUCCUACCCAAUCUCCCGUCACCGUGGUCUCCUGUCACCGUGGUCAUGAGGCAUUAGCAUGAGAGCCUCCAGCGCUGCUGAAAGCUGCAACAGGUUUAAGUCACAUGGAAAUCAUGACGUUUGAACCCAUGAAGCCAAGCCAACAGGCUACAUGACCACACACUGGCGCGGCUCCUCUUCAUCUCCACGGCAACCACCUCCGGGAACCUUAAGAAGAUUCCAGAGCUCGAGUACAAAAGCAACGAGUGCGCUAUUCAGCAACCCAAGGAGGAUAGGAGGCUUAGUUCCCAUCAUUCUCUGGGCCAGCUUUGGAAUUACAGCUCAAGAGACAUCUAUUUAGAUAGGCUGAAGCCCAAUGGUUUCUACAUUUAUCAUCUAAAAUGUGAACAAAUGUUCAGCAACCCACUAGAAACUGUGCCACUUUUGUUCACAGGAUGUGUCUGGUAUAGAAACUGUAUGUAACGGGCCUCUAAUUUCACAGUCCCCCUUAGGAAAUGGCCCAAAAUGUGCAACUCUCUAAUAUAUCAUUUGCAGUAAUUCAAGUCCUAUUGGUUAGUAUCCAGCUUUCUUAAAGGCCUAUGAAAGGAUUUUUUUCCUUCAGUAUUUUAUGUCAAGUCAUAAUAGUGUUAUAUGCUAUUGUGUUUGUACGCCUCUUUGUCCCUUUUUCAUGCACGGGACUCGCAUCUAGAAGUGCUAGUGUAAUUCUUUUUAUUUUACUGUCUCCGACCUUUCCCAGCAUUCCAUGUGGCCAUAGACAAAAAUGUGUUAAGUCACAUGGUCUCCAGGAAGUGUGGCUAUGCUGCAGUGAAGAAGAGAUCUGCUGAAGUAAUGCUAUUCACUCAUCCACUGGAGCAUAGCCCCCUGGAGAUCAUGUGACUUAUAACAUAUUGGGGGUCAUUUACUAAUGUGAUCCCAACUUUUUUUGUGCCAAAAUUGUGUUGCCUUGCCUCUUUACUCAGAACCCUGAAAAAAGUGUGUGUCCCCGACAGUUUUAAAAAAUCCCAACACAUUUACUAAUGUCCUCACAUAAAAUAUGGUAGAUUUGAGCUCUGGAAAACCUGACAGCUCAGAGCAGUUGUAAAGUAAAAACAUAGGGAAAAAUUGCCAAUUUAGUAAAUACCAUGGAAAAAUAAAGUGUCAGGGGGGAAAAAAAAAGACAAAGAAAACUACACUUUUAGCAAAUCGGGGACAUUGGCCCUGAUUUGCUAAGAGUGGAGUGGAUUUAUUUUUGAGGGGCUUUUUUUCCCAAUAGGCAUUUUUCCCCACAGUAUUUACUGUUUCCCUACAUUUUGCAUUUUUCCCUACGUUUUGCUUUUUUUUUUUAUACACAUGCUCUGAGCUGUGGGGUUUUCUAGAGCUCAAAUCCAACACAUUUUCUGUGAAAACCUUUGUAAAUAUGUUGUCAUUUUUCAAAAAUGUUGGGACAAGCCCCCAUUUUUAUUGCAACCACGUCCCCUUUUACAGGCGGCCAUGCCCCUUUUUGGGGUUUUCUAAGUAAAAUGGAAAGUUGGUCGAGUUUUUAAAUUUGUCUCUGGCCACAUGGAAUGCUCGGAAAGGUCGGAGACAACAGUA